rnacentral:rRNA from 1 species
GACGAACGCUGGCGGCGUGCUUAACACAUGCAAGUCGAACGGAAAGGCCCUGCUUGUGUGGGGUGCUCGAGUGGCGAACGGGUGAGUAACAGGUGAGUAACCUGCCCUUGACUUUGGGAUAACUUCAGGAAACUGGGGCUAAUACCGGAUAGGAUCUCCUGCUGCAUGGUGGGGGUUGGAAAGUUUCGGCGGUUGGGGAUGGACUCGCGGAUUAUCAGCUUGUUGGUGGGGGAGUGGCUUACCAAGGCUUUGACGGGUAGCCGGCCUGAGAGGGUGACCGGCCACAUUGGGACUGAGAUACGGCCCAGACUCCUACGGGAGGCAGCAGUGGGGAAUAUUGCACAAUGGGCGGAAGCCUGAUGCAGCAACGCCGCGUGCGGGAUGACGGCCUUCGGGUUGUAAACCGCUUUCGCCUGUGACGAAGCGUGAGUGACGGUAAUGGGUAAAGAAGCACCGGCUAACUACGUG